UACGUAGGGGGCGAGCGUUGUCCGGAUUUACUGGGCGUAAAGCGCGCGUAGGCGGAAGAUUAAGCGUGCCUUGAAAGCCCCCGGCUCAACCGGGGAAGGUGGGUGCGAACUGGUCUUCUUGAGGGCGAUAGAGGGGGGCGGAAUUCCUGGUGUAGCGGUGAAAUGCGCAGAUAUCAGGAGGAACACCAAUUGGCGAAGGCA
rnacentral:rRNA from 1 species